AUUGAACGCUGGCGGCAUGCUUUACACAUGCAAGUCGAACGGUAACAGGCCUUCGGGUGCUGACGAGUGGCGAACGGGUGAGUAAUGCAUCGGAACGUGCCCAGAGGUGGGGGAUAACGCAGCGAAAGCUGUGCUAAUACCGCAUGUGAUCUGAGGAUGAAAGCGGGGGACCAGGCAGCAAUGUUUGGCCUCGCGCCUUUGGAGCGGCCGAUGUCAGAUUAGGUAGUUGGUGGGGUAAAGGCCUACCAAGCCGACGAUCUGUAGCUGGUCUGAGAGGACGACCAGUCACACUGGGACUGAGACACGGCCCAGACUCCUACGGGAGGCAGCAGUGGGGAAUUUUGGACAAUGGGCGCAAGCCUGAUCCAGCAAUGCCGCGUGCGGGAAGAAGGCCUUCGGGUUGUAAACCGCUUUUGUACGGAACGAAAAGGCUCUGGCUAAUACCUGGGGCUGAUGACGGUACCGUAAGAAUAAGCACCGGCUAACUACGUG
rnacentral:rRNA from 1 species